rnacentral:rRNA from 1 species
AUUGAACGCUGGCGGCAGGCUUAACACAUGCAAGUCGAACGAUGAUUUCCCAGCUUGCUGGGAAUGAUUAGUGGCGGACGGGUGAGUAACAUUUAGGAAUCUGCCUAGUAGUGGGGGAUAGCUCGGGGAAACUCGAAUUAAUACCGCAUACGACCUACGGGUGAAAGGGGGCGCAAGCUCUUGCUAUUAGAUGAGCCUAAAUCAGAUUAGCUAGUUGGUGGGGUAAAGGCCCACCAAGGCGACGAUCUGUAACUGGUCUGAGAGGAUGAUCAGUCACACCGGAACUGAGACACGGUCCGGACUCCUACGGGAGGCAGCAGUGGGGAAUAUUGGACAAUGGGGGCAACCCUGAUCCAGCCAUGCCGCGUGUGUGAAGAAGGCCUUUUGGUUGUAAAGCACUUUAAGCAGGGAGGAGAGGCUAAUGGUUAAUACCCAUUAGAUUAGACGUUACCUGCAGAAUAAGCACCGGCUAACUCUGUGCCAGCCGCCGCCGUAAAAC